AUGGCGCGAGAGGGAGGAGGGGCAGCCAUGGCGCCCGCUGCGGCGGAAGUGAGGUACGGGAUAGUUGGGGUCGGGAUGAUGGGGAGGGAGCACCUCCACAACCUCGCUCACCUCGCCGGAGAAGUCGAGCGGGAGCAGUCCGUCCGCGUCUGCGUCACCUGCCUCGCCGACCCCCACCCGGAGUCCCUCCUCCUUGGCCUCCGCCUCGCUGCAGAGCUUGGCCUGCCACCUCCCCAGACAUUUUCAGGUCACCGCGAGUUGCUGGACAGCGGGCUGUGUGACGCCGUCGUUGUGUCGUCGCCAAACAUGACACACUCUGAGAUACUCAUGGACAUCAUUUGUUAUGCCAAGCCGCACCACGUUCUUGUUGAGAAGCCUCUGUGCACCACGGUACAGGACUGCAAGAAGGUCAUAGAGGCUGCCAAACAGAGAUCAGACAUACUCAUGCAAGUCGGAUUAGAAUACCGGUAUAUGCCGCCGGUGGCUAAGCUGAUAGAUAUUGUUAAAAGUGGCACACUAGGGCAGGUCAAAAUGGUGGCUAUCCGUGAACAUCGGUUUCCUUUCCUUGUUAAGGUGAACAACUGGAAUAGGUUUAAUUGCAACAGUGGGGGGACUCUGGUUGAGAAGUGCUGCCACUUUUUUGAUUUGAUAAGAUUGUUUGCAGAUGCGAACCCUGUUCGUGUGAUGGCUUCUGGAGCUAUUGAUGUUAACCAUAAGGAUGAGGUUUAUGAUGGAAAGGUACCAGAUAUAAUUGAUAAUGCAUAUGUAAUCGUAGAAUUCGAUAAUGGCUGUCGUGGCAUGCUUGAUCUCUGCAUGUUUGCUGAAGGUAGUAAAAAUGAGCAGGAAAUUUCUGUUGGUGACACUGGAAAGGGCGAGGCUUUUGUUCCAGAGGGCAUUGUGAUGGUUGGAAAGCGAGCAGGAGGCAGAGAUGGAGUUGUAACGGUGAAGGCCGAAGAUGAACGAAUCAAGUACCAGGGGCUUCACCAUGGAUCUAGCUACUUGGAGCACCUGAAUUUCCUGUCUGCCAUCAGGGCACAAGGUGCAUGUAGCCCAGCUAUCAGCUUGGAUGACGGCUUACUAUCUGUUGCAAUUGGUGUGGCUGGCCAAUUGUCGAUCGAGAAAGGCCGUUUCGUCACCAUUGAGGAGGUGCUAUCAAGCUGA
rnacentral:rRNA from 1 species